rnacentral:lncRNA from 1 species
AUGCGUUUAAGAUAUAAACAUGAAUAGCAUACAUGAGGGAAACCUAUCCAAAAGACAUAUGUAUAUAUAUGCGGAAUAUAGUGGGCGAGCCGACAAGGCUGCUAUAGACAACUAUAUACCCAAAACUGGAAGCCGUCAAGGCCACAUACUAUCUAACUAUACAUAACUGUCUACAGACCUCUAAUAGAAAUACAGUUGUACAAAGACGGGACUGAGCCACGUUAUACCCAUAUAUGUAUACAAGCAUAUCGUACCAAAAUUAAAAGCAUCUCUGGAUCAAGUCGAGCACGCCAACUCUCGCUGAUCAAAGAUCCUAAUGAAGGGGGACCGUCGGCUUGUCUACCUGCACUACGAGCAUGAAACGCAAGCCCCGGAAAAUAGGGCGUCAGUGUGAAUAAUGUAUUGAGUAUGUAAAGCAUAAAAAUCAGUACAUAAAUGACAUAGAUGAAACAUGGAAUAAAGAAAUCCACCUAUAAGUCUGAAUAACUUUGUAAAUUCUGCUAUAUUUAUAGUGUCAUGCACGUGCAUAUAAAUAUCAUGUCAUGCAUAGGUAUAAGUUUACAUAACAUCAUCAAGCCUUCGAGGGCAUCCCAUCAUAUCCUCUCGGCCACUGUGGGCAACAUCAUCAACAUAUACCAACUGAUCAGGUGGUGGUAUGUAUAUAACGUCGUAACUUUUUUUCAUAUCUCAUAUACAUAUAAAUACGUGUAUAUAACGCCAUCUGGUCAUCAGGGGCGUACGCAGAUAUUUUUGUAAGCUGUGUCGAAAUUUAUAAAAGAAUUAAAAUAUAAAUUUGCUUAUCAUAGAAUAACCUUAGUCUAUUGAGUUUGUUGAGUCUUAAGUUACAAAAGGUCCUGAGUAUUUGCAAAAGAAAAAUGUGCUAGUUGAGGUUUGAACCUUUGACCUCUUAGAGAAAAUCAAGCACAUUACCAACAUACCAAGACACAAUUUAUGUCAAGUGGUGUCAUUUUCCUAGUUAUCUGUUUCCGUACAGCAUUAAUACAUAUAUUUUGUAAAAUUUUCCGACGAAGCGGUGUCGCGUGACACCGCUUCGGUAAGCAUAAAUCCACCCCGGCUGGUCAUGGAUCGAUGUACAUGUAUAAAUGCAUGAAAUGCAUAAAAAUAGGUUAAUAAUCUCAAUAUUCCUUUCGGAUAAACUUUAUCAACUGCGUAUUAUUUUGAGACCCAUGAACAGAAAAUAUAAUAAUACGUCACGUGGGGCAUCAAGAACAUAAAGACCCCUAGUAUUUCUAUGAAUAGAGUCGUUUAUGAAAGCUGUGCAUUUGCUCGUUUCUUUUGUAUCAUUUGGAUCAUGCCAAAAAGAAAGGAAGGAUAGCUUUAACAUACCUGGAGUAGGAAAAAAUCCGUAUGGUAUUCUU